UGCCCAGGCCUCGCCCAAUGUGCUCCCGCUGUGCCCGCAAGCUGGGGCCUCGCUGGGUAGUCCCAGCCACGACUGGCCUCUCUGACCCGGGCCGGGGGUCUCGGCCAGAUUCCCUCUCUGCCCACCUCACCCCUGGGACUGAGGGCCACUGGGUCAUCUUGGGGGUCACGGCCCCCAUGGGCAGGGCUGGACCAGGGUGACCCAGAGAAGGGACUCUUGUCCCUGGUUUGCCCGGGGCCACCCUCGGAGAACCCCAGGGCCCCUCACGGGCGGUUCCUAUGCAGAGAUGUUGGCCCCGUCAGGGCGGGCAGCAGCCCAGGGCACUGACCCCAAACCUCCCGACUGUGUGGUCACUGCCCUUUAGUUCUCUUCGGAUGCUUCCAGAGGAAUCCGCGUCAGUCACCAGCUUCGAGCAUCUACCAGGGUGCCAGGGAGCUGAAAAGCACUGGGUAAAUACAGUCAGAGGAUGGUGAAUGAGUUCGGAAUAGGCCACCACCCUGUAGGACAGCUCACAUGCUCACCGGGUGACUGCUGAAUGAAUGAGCGAACACCCCCUUGGCUCAGAAAUGGAUCCCUUCCCUCCACUCUCCCUGCUGGCUGGCUUGGUGAAGAAGAAUUCACCAGAAACAGAAAAACGACGUAAAAAAAUGGAAUGAGACAAAAAAUAUAGUAGUGUGUGGGAUGAAGUGCUUGGCGGGACACCGGCUCCUAACACCCCGAGCAGCUCUCUCUGCUUCCCGCUGAUUCCACAAGUGAUCCGCGUUCCAUUCGGCAUCUACUUGCUGCGUCCUAAUACGAGCUAAGCCCAGGUCUGGAGCUUCCUAAUGCAAACCUGUCCUCCAAGAGCUUACGGGGCGCCUGGGGGCUCCGUCGGGUAAGCAUCUGACCCUUGGUUUCCGCUCAGGUCACGA